rnacentral:tRNA from 1 species
AGAGAGAUGGCUCAGCGGUUAAGGGCACCUGUUGUUCAAGCUAGGGGACCUGGGUUCAAUUCCCAGUGUCACAC